rnacentral:rRNA from 1 species
CCACGUAGGGGGCGAGCGUUGUCCGGAAUUACUGGGCGUAAAGGGUGCGUAGGCGGCCUUAUAAGUCAUGUGUGAAAAACCCGGGCUCAACCCGGGUAUUGCAAGUGAAACUAUAGGGCUUGAGUGCAGGAGAGGGAAGUGGAAUUCCUAGUGUAGCGGUGAAAUGCGUAGAGAUUAGGAGGAACACCAGUGGCGAAGGCGGCUUCCUGGACUGCAACUGACGCUGAGGCUCGAAAGCGUGGGGAGCAAACAGGAUUAGAUACCCUGGUAGUCCACGCCGUAAACGCUGGAUACUAGGUGUAGGUACCGAUGAGGUAUCUGUGCCGUAGUUAACGCAAUAAGUAUCCCGCCUGGGGAGUACGGCCGCAAGGCUGAA